GGCCCGUGACAUGAUUCCGGUAACUGUACUGAGGUGACCAGACCUCAACACCACCGUCUCCCUCACCCGUCUCGCUCGCUCUGCGGUGCUUUCCCUUCUGCUUCGGUUUGUCCUCCGAAGCUUGCAAAUCUCUGCUCCUGGAAUUUGACUCCGAUGCUGGACUUCAAUUCCUUCAUGUCAAGAUGGAAACCUGUUACAUUUGAAGAAUCUCUAACCUUUGUGAAGAAAGUAAAGGCUCGCGAUUACCAAUUGUACUUGUCAUUGUUCGACAUUGUCAGCCGGAACGAACAGAUGACCCCAGAUAUCUACGAUGAUCUACUAUUGCUCUUCGAGAGUCACAAUGAUCUGCAAAAGGAGCUAAUGCGUUUCAAACCUCUCGUCGUAGAAAGAAUGAUUGACAACGACGUUUUAUCAGGAAUGGCUCUUCUCCUUGUGCUAAUAUUAUUCUUGAGCUUGUUCAUUUUGUUUGAACAACCUCUGAAAUAUGCUUUUCAACGAGUGUUUGGAACCUAACUAAAAGGGGGCAUUAUGGUGCAUGUAUGGUUGAUGUUUCCUCUUGGCAAUAAGAUCAUUAUCCUCAUGCCCACCCAGUUUCUUGGAAA